rnacentral:rRNA from 1 species
AGGACGAACGCUGGCGGCGUGCUUAACACAUGCAAGUCGAGCGGUGAUCCUCCUUCGGGAGGUGAUCAGCGGCGAACGGGUGAGUAACACGUGGGCAACCUGCCCCUCACACUGGGAUAACCUCGGGAAACCGGGGCUAAUACCGGAUACGACCUCGAGCGGCAUCUCUUGAGGUGGAAAGCUCCGACGGUGAGGGAUGGGCCCGCGGCCUAUCAGCUUGUUGGUGGGGUAAUGGCCUACCAAAGCGACGACGGGUA